rnacentral:rRNA from 1 species
UGGGGAAUAUUGCACAAUGGGCGCAAGCCUGAUGCAGCAACGCCACGUGAGUGAAGAAGGCCCUUGGGUUGUAAAGCUCUUUCAGCUAGGAAGAAGGGUAGAGAAGUUAAUAGCUACUUUAUCUGACGGUACUAGACUAAGAAGCACUGGCUAAUUCCGUGCCAGCAGCCGCGGUAAUACGGAAGGUGCAAGCGUUGUUCGGAUUGACUGGGCGUAAAGAGCACGUAGGUGGGUUCAUAAGUCGGAUGUGAAAGCCCCAGGCUUAACCUGGGAACUGCACCCGAAACUGUGGAUCUUGAAUGUUUGGGAGGUUAGCGGAAUUCCAGGUGUAGGAGUGAAAUCCGUAGAUAUCUGGAGGAACACCGGAGGCGAAGGCGGCUGACUAACAAAACAUUGACACUGAGGUGCGAAAGCGUGGGUAGCAAACAGG